rnacentral:piRNA from 1 species
UUCUUUUGCAUGACGCAUCUGAUUUGAAUC